AUUGAACGCUGGCGGCAUGCUUUACACAUGCAAGUCGAACGGUAACAGGCCUUCGGGUGCUGACGAGUGGCGAACGGGUGAGUAAUGCAUCGGAACGUGCCCAGAGGUGGGGGAUAACGCAGCGAAAGCUGUGCUAAUACCGCAUGUGAUCUGAGGAUGAAAGCAGGGGACCAAGCAGCAAUGUUUGGCCUCGCGCCUCUGGAGCGGCCGAUGUCAGAUUAGGUAGUUGGUGGGGUAAAGGCCUACCAAGCCGACGAUCUGUAGCUGGUCUGAGAGGACGACCAGCCACACUGGGACUGAGACACGGCCCAGACUCCUACGGGAGGCAGCAGUGGGGAAUUUUGGACAAUGGGCGCAAGCCUGAUCCAGCAAUGCCGCGUGCGGGAAGAAGGCCUUCGGGUUGUAAACCGCUUUUGUACGGAACGAAAAGGCUCUGGCUAAUACCUGGGGCUGAUGACGGUACCGUAAGAAUAAGCACCGGCUAACUACGUG
rnacentral:rRNA from 1 species